rnacentral:misc_RNA from 1 species
GAUGAAGAACGCAGCGAAAUGCGAUACUUGGUGUGAAUUGCAGAAUCCCGUGAACCAUCGAGUCUUUGAACGCAAGUUGCGCCCGAAGCCACUAGGCCGAGGGCACGCCUGCCUGGGCGUCACACGCCGUUGCCCCCCCAUCUACUCCUUCGGGAUUGCGGGGGGGCGGAUGAUGGCCUCCCGUGCGCCUAGCCGCGCGGUUGGCAUAAAUACCAAGUCCUCGGCGACGCACGCCACGACAAUCGGUGGUUGCGAAACCUCGGUUGCCCGUCGUGUGCGUUCGUCGCGCAUCGAGGGCUCGAAAAAAUGCUCGGCUCCGGCUGGGCUUUCAACGCGACCCCAGGUCAGGCGGGGUUACUCGCUGAAUUUAAGCAUAUCAAUAAGCGGAGGA